rnacentral:lncRNA from 1 species
GAAAUUCGAGAAUUUAGAGGAUAAGAAGGCGGCAAAGCUGCGGCCGAUUUGGGAACUAUCCUCGGGUCAUCUACGUCUACGUGAUUGGUCGAGGAACUUUGAUCCCUACAAGGAAAAUUCUUCGCUUGCACAAGUAUGGGUGAGAAUCUAUAUUAUUUGCCAGUGGAAUACUGGCACCCUAAAAUUAUAACGGGUAUUGCAAGCUCGCUUGGGCACAGGAUUAAGAUCGAUGGUGCUUCGGCCAUUGAGGAUGUCGUUGGUCACUUUGCACGCGUCUCAAUGGAAAUUGAUAUGGC